UACAGAGGGUGCAAGCGUUGUUCGGAAUCAUUGGGCGUAAAGCGCAUGUAGGCGGUUUUGUAAGUCGGAUGUGAAAGCCCCGGGCUCAACCCUGGAACUGCAUCCGAUACUGCUUAACUAGAAUCCUGGAGAGGGUGGCGGAAUUCCGAGUGUAGAGGUGAAAUUCGUAGAUAUUCGGAGGAACACCAGAGGCGAAGGCGGCCACCUGGACAGUGAUUGACGCUGAGAUGCGAAAGCGUGGGUAGCAAACAGG
rnacentral:rRNA from 1 species